GGCAGGAGGUGUGGCUUUCGCCCGGCUGAGAGGACCAAGCACUGCCCUCCAGGCUCGCCCGAGCCCCGCCCCCAUGCACACUCACACCCUCUAGGCUCACCCCAACCGCGCUCCCACGCACAUUCACGCCCUCCGGGCUCGCCCUAGCCCGGCCCCCAUGCACGCUCACGCCCUCCAGGCUCGCCCUAGCCCGGCCCCCAUGCAUGCUCACGCCCUCCAGGCCUGCCCCAGCCACGGCUCCGUGCACACUUACGCAUUCUCAAUGAGUUGCUCCAGCUCCUGGACCUUGCGGCUCAGCUCCUCGGCCGGAGGAAAGCCUUUGCCCACCUUCAUGAAGAGCGCCGCGAUCUUGUUACUUCGCAGGAAGCCAGCCGCCCUCCGCCGCAGCCCGUGCAGCACGCAGGCCUCCACGGCCGCUGUGGAGACACAAUGGUCGGUAGCCGUCUUGUCUCUUGUGCAGUCUCCAGCACCAACAGUGCAGAGAAAAGAAAUCGCACCCGUGCGCCAAAGGAGUCAAGAGGCUAGCGGUUAACGCGCACGUGCACGGGGGUGGGGGGGGCCAAGGUCGGCCAUCUCUUGUCAGCCAUCAGCCUGCUGUAUGGCUGUGGGCAAUCACUCCCUCUCUUUCUGCCUUAACCUCCCUUAGAAAGGGUGUGCACACUGAGUGACCUGUGGGUCACCAUCGGCAGCUGUUGUCAUUGUCACGAUUGCCAUCUCCCUCACCAUCAAUCAUCUCCACCAUCACCUUCACCUCCGUUAUCACCAUCACCCUCACUCUCAUCCUCGAAACACUCAUCUCUCACCAUUGUCCAAGCUACGUUUUGUGUCAACUUGACACUAUAAUCACCUGACAAGAGAGAACCUCAAUUGAGGAAAUUCCUGCAUGAGACCCGGCUUCACUGUGAGGCAUUUCCCCAUUAGUGAUUGACGAGGGGGGCGUGUUAUACCAGCCCAUAGUAGGUGGUCUUGGGUUCUAUAAGAAAGCAGGCUGAGCAAGCCAGUAAGCAGCACCCUCCAUGGCCUCUGCAUCAGCUCCUGCUUCCAGGUGCCUGCCCUGAGUGGCUUCCCGCUCUGAUCCAAGCUGAAAUAACUACCACACGUUGCUUUUGGUCACUGUGUCUAUCACAGCAGUGUAAAGCAGACUAGGACGUGCACUCGACCGGAAGGGGCCGAGGGAGGAUGUGAACCCUGGUCUGCCUGCUACAAAGGAUGAGGUUCCACCCCCAUCCCAUCCUGCAAGCUCCACAUGUAGCCAACGUUAAGGGUGCCCAGCUUCGUGGGUGGGGGUGGCAGGCUGGCUAGGUGUCUGUGCUCAGGGAUCUUCCCGAGGCCACAGGAAGCCCUGCUGUGUGCUUCCUGGGAGACAUUCCACGUGCUAAAGUUCCAAGGAGAGAGACUGGAGCCUGAGGCCACCGGCUUGGAGGAGACUGCAGGCACAGGAAACCCUGUCUUUGGCUCUCGCCCAGGCACAGUAUGAACACCCAACUGCUCCUGAGCAGGGCCAGCUUGCAGUGGGGCCUAAGUCACACUUCGAAUCCCAAGCCUUCCAUGCCCCUACUAAAUAUGAGUCUCAAGAUACCUCAGAGCCUGCUAACUAGUUACCAUACCUAGUGAUCUGUUACAUGGUCCUCUGUAACCCGGGCUGGCCAGGAACUGAUACAUAGCUGAGGAUGACCUUAAACUUGUGAUCCUCCUGCCUCCACCUGGCUUUAUGUGGCUGUGUGGGUGGUAUCUGGGGUGCUGAGAGAGUGCUUGAGGUAAGCACUCCUUACCAACCAAGCUGCAUCCCCAGCCCUCAGAACCCUCUCUCCAUCCUUUACCCAGCGGGCCAUCCGUGGGACACAGGAUUCCCCCAGCCCCCUUCUCUCACAGUUCUGCAUUUCCAAAUCCGCUUCCUCCUGCAGAGUGCCCUAGGGAUCCCAAAAUAACUUCAGAGUCACAAAGCCCAGCGUGACGCAAGAGCUGGCUCACAGGUACGCCUCCUCUGCUGCAGCCCAGCCAGGAAGCUGCUCCCCACUGCCUCCACCAAGGCGGUCACCACUCACCACAGAAGGAGAUGAUGUGGCUGCUGUCCUCGUGGACGAACUUUCGGCUCGCCCCCUGGAGGCUCAGAGAGGACAGAGCACCACCUGCACUAAAGUGCUCCGAGGUAACACGGCAGCCACAGCCCACCCUCCCCCGUCAGCACCAACCCUGUGAACAGCUCCCGGCUCUGCUGCCCGCCACCGCAGCCCAGCUUCACCAGGAACUGUUCUCAACAAGAACUCUGCGGCUGCGAGGCCCGUGAGAUCACCCUGCUUUACAGGUGUGACUGUGAUUUGAACCCAAGGCCUCACACGUGCUAGGCCAGCACCCCACCAGUGAGCCACACCUCCAGCCAAAUCUUUUAUGAGCAGCACACUGGAAUGACACAGGUUGUCAGGAGCAGGGGGAAACCCACAAAUGUACAGAAAUGAAACAGCUCAUCGGUCAAAGCAGCUACAGGAGGUGUUAGAAGGCAUCUUGAGGGAUAAAAUCAAAUAAUUGGGCCAGCGAGAUGGCUGAGUGGCUAAAGGUGCUUGCUGCCAAGUGUGACCAUCUGAGUUUGAUCCCGGGACCUACAUGGAUGGAAGGAAAGAAUGGACUUUCACAAGUUGUCCUCUGACCUCUUCAUGCACAUCUGCAUGCAAUAAAUAAUGUAAAAAAAAAGUACAUAAGUAAGAAAUUAAAGCAAGCAGAGCUAGA